rnacentral:rRNA from 1 species
GAUGAACGCUGGCGGCGUGCCUAAUACAUGCAAGUCGAGCGAACAGACGAGGAGCUUGCUCCUCUGACGUUAGCGGCGGACGGGUGAGUAACACGUGGAUAACCUACCUAUAAGACUGGGAUAACUUCGGGAAACCGGAGCUAAUACCGGAUAAUAUAUUGAACCGCAUGGUUCAAUAGUGAAAGACGGUUUUGCUGUCACUUAUAGAUGGAUCCGCGCCGCAUUAGCUAGUUGGUAAGGUAACGGCUUACCAAGGCAACGAUGCGUAGCCGACCUGAGAGGGGGACCGGCACAUCGGGAACUAGGACACGUUCCAGACCCCAAAGGGGGGCAGCAGAGGGGAAUCUCCGGCAAUGGGCGAAACCUUGACGGAGAACGGCCGCGUGAGUGAUGAGGUCUUCGGAUCGUAAAACUCUGUUAUUAGGGAAGAACAAAUGUGUAAGUAACUAUGCACGUCUUGACGGUACCUAAUCAGAAAGCCACGGCUAACUACGUG